rnacentral:rRNA from 1 species
AUUGAACUGAAGAGUUUGAUCCUGGCUCAGAUUGAACGCUGGCGGCAUGCCUUACACAUGCAAGUCGAACGGCAGCACGGGCUUCGGCCUGGUGGCGAGUGGCGAACGGGUGAGUAAUACAUCGGAACAUGUCCUGUAGUGGGGGAUAGCCCGGCGAAAGCCGGAUUAAUACCGCAUACGAUCUGAGGAUGAAAGCGGGGGACCUUCGGGCCUCGCGCUAUAGGGUUGGCCGAUGGCUGAUUAGCUAGUUGGUGGGGUAAAGGCCUACCAAGGCGACGAUCAGUAGCUGGUCUGAGAGGACGACCAGCCACACUGGGACUGAGACACGGCCCAGACUCCUACGGGAGGCAGCAGUGGGGAAUUUUGGACAAUGGGCGCAAGCCUGAUCCAGCAAUGCCGCGUGUGUGAAGAAGGCCUUCGGGUUGUAAAGCACUUUUGUCCGGAAAGAAAUCAUUCUGGCUAAUACCCGGAGUGG